AGUUUGAAUAACCUGCCAAGCCUAAAGAGAAUACACCGUCCUGCAUUACCCUUUCUGCCUUUCCUUCCAUGAUACAGAUUGAGGUACAGACUUAGACGGACCCAGGUGGGGGCCUAAGGGAGCCCAGGCCCAAAAAGAAAAAUUUUAGCAAGUUAAAUUUUUCCCAAAAAAAAAAAAAAGAAACAAAGCUCGGGCCCCCCUUAGUUUUUAGCUCAGGCCCCCUCCCAAAAAUCAUGAAUUCCUAGCCCAGCCGGCCGGCCCAGGAGGCAAGAGCCCGUGACCCAUGUAAAUCAAAAAAAAGAAAAGAAAAAAGAAAGAAAGAAAACUCAGCAGUCCAAAACGGCAAAACCUAACAGAGAGAGUGAAAAAUGAAGGAAAAAAGAAAGGAAACUUAGGAAAGUGAGGGGCGAGAUAGUGAGAUAGAGUACUCAGAGUCAGAGAGAGAGACCCAAGCCAUGACACUGCCGCUCACGCCCACGCUUGUGAGACCCAUCUUGCUACCCAAUACCCACACCGACGCCGCCAUCAUCACGCGAGAGUCUCAGCUGUCGCCGUCGCCCACACAAGACCCAUCUUGCCGCUGCCACCGAUUGCUCGAUCUGCCCAGCCCAGCUUCGUUGUUCCAGCCUUCACAGUUCACAGAACAUAAUGCUGUUGGAAACGAGACGGAGAAUUGAUCGGACAUGGAGGGCGAAGCUCGUUACUACUUGGACAGCUCCAACGCCUCCAUCGGUGCCAUGGGGUUUUUGUGUGGGGCCGAGGUCUCGAACUCCAGCUUCACCGAGGAUCGAGACGAUGAGAGUCGUUGAUGAUGGGGUUUAGGGGUCUCGAUUUUCUGUGGGGUUUGGAUUUACUGUUUGGAAUUUCUAUUUGGAUUUUCUGUGGGGUGAUGGUGGUUGAUGAUUGUGGGUUGAUGGUGGUGGGUGGGUGGCUGGGUUUGAUGGUGGUGGCUGGGUGGCUGAUGGCUAGGUGUCGGUGAUUUUGGGUUUGUGUUAGGUCUGUGAGAGGGUUCUAGAGAGGAGGAGAAGGAAAUAAUAAAAAAUGUAAAAAGAAUGAAUAUUUUAUUGAAUAAAUAUGUAGAAUAGAUAAACUGAUGUAAAUGUUUUGUAAAA